GACGAACGCUGGCGGCGUGCUUAACACAUGCAAGUCGAACGGAAAGGCCCUGCUUUUGUGGGGUGCUCGAGUGGCGAACGGGUGAGUAACACGUGAGUAACCUGCCCUUGACUUUGGGAUAACUUCAGGAAACUGGGGCUAAUACCGGAUAGGAGCUCCUGCUGCAUGGUGGGGGUUGGAAAGUUUCGGCGGUUGGGGAUGGACUCGCGGCUUAUCAGCUUGUUGGUGGGGUAGUGGCUUACCAAGGCUUUGACGGGUAGCCGGCCUGAGAGGGUGACCGGCCACAUUGGGACUGAGAUACGGCCCAGACUCCUACGGGAGGCAGCAGUGGGGAAUAUUGCACAAUGGGCGGAAGCCUGAUGCAGCAACGCCGCGUGCGGGAUGACGGCCUUCGGGUUGUAAACCGCUUUCGCCUGUGACGAAGCGUGAGUGACGGUAAUGGGUAAAGAAGCACCGGCUAACUACGUGCCAGCAGCCGCGGUGAUACGUAGGGUGCGAGCGUUGUCCGGAUUUAUUGGGCGUAAAGGGCUCGUAGGUGGUUGAUCGCGUCGGAAGUGUAAUCUUGGGGCUUAACCCUGAGCGUGCUUUCGAUACGGGUUGACUUGAGGAAGGUAGGGGAGAAUGGAAUUCCUGGUGGAGCGGUGGAAUGCGCAGAUAUCAGGAGGAACACCAGUGGCGAAGGCGGUUCUCUGGGCCUUUCCUGACGCUGAGGAGCGAAAGCGUGGGGAGCGAACAGGCUUAGAUACCCUGGUAGUCCACGCUGUAAACGGUGGGUACUAGGUGUGGGGUCCAUUCCACGGGUUCCGUGCCGUAGCUAACGCUUUAAGUACCCCGCCUGGGGAGUACGGCCGCAAGGCUAAAACUCAAAGGAAUUGACGGGGCCCCGCACAAGCGGCGGAGCAUGCGGAUUAAUUCGAUGCAACGCGUAGAACCUUACCUGGGUUUGACAUGGAUCGGGAGCGCUCAGAGAUGGGUGUGCCUCUUUUGGGGUCGGUUCACAGGUGGUGCAUGGCUGUCGUCAGCUCGUGUCGUGAGAUGUUGGGUUAAGUCCCGCAACGAGCGCAACCCUUGUUCACUGUUGCCAGCACGUUAUGGUGGGGACUCAGUGGAGACCGCCGGGGUCAACUCGGAGGAAGGUGGGGAUGACGUCAAGUCAUCAUGCCCCUUAUGUCCAGGGCUUCACGCAUGCUACAAUGGCUGGUACAGAGAGUGGCGAGCCUGUGAGGGUGAGCGAAUCUCGGAAAGCCGGUCUCAGUUCGGAUUGGGGUCUGCAACUCGACUUCAUGAAGUCGGAGUCGCUAGUAAUCGCAGAUCAGCAACGCUGCGGUGAAUACGUUCCCGGG
rnacentral:rRNA from 1 species